rnacentral:rRNA from 1 species
UUGGUGGGGUAAAGGCCUACCAAGGCGACGAUCAGUAGUUGGUCUGAGAGGACGACCAGCCACACUGGGACUGAGACACGGCCCAGACUCCUACGGGAGGCAGCAGUGGGGAAUUUUGGACAAUGGGCGCAAGCCUGAUCCAGCAAUGCCGCGUGAGUGAAGAAGGCCUUCGGGUUGUAAAGCUCUUUCAGUCGAGAAGAAAAGACUGCAGUGAAUAACUGCAGUUCAUGACGGUAUCGACAGAAGAAGCACCGGCUAACUACGUGCCAGCAGCCGCGGUAAUACGUAGGGUGCGAGCGUUAAUCGGAAUUACUGGGCGUAAAGGGUGCGCAGGCGGCUUUGUAAGUCAGAUGUGAAAUCCCC